rnacentral:rRNA from 1 species
CCUACGGGAGGCAGCAGUGAGGAAUAUUGGUCAAUGGACGGAAGUCUGAACCAGCCACGCCGCGUGCAGGAUGACGGCCCUAUGAGUUGUAAACUGCUUUUGUACGAGAAUAAUAGUUCUUACGUGUAGGGGUUUGAAUGUAUCGUACGAAUAAGGAUCGGCUAACUCCGUGCCAGCAGCAGCGGUAAUACGGAGGAUUCGAGCGUUAUCCGGAUUUAUUGGGUUUAACGGGUGCGUAGGCUGUGGGAUAAGUUAGAGGUCAAAGGUCGGGGCUUAACCCCGUGCCUGCCUCUGAUACUGUUCGACUAGAGAGCGGAUGCAGCAGGCGGAAUGAGUAGUGUAGCGGUGAAAUGCUUAGAUAUUACUCAGAACACCGAUUGCGCAGGCAGCUUGCUAAUCCGCAUCUGACGCUGAUGCACGAAAGCGUGGGUAGCGAACAGGAUUAGAUACCCGGGUAGUC